rnacentral:lncRNA from 1 species
AUGAGGAACUCACUGUUCUGUUCCAGCCCUCUGUCAGGUACCACCUGUUUGGCACUUUUCGACUCUCAUUUUUUUAAGUCAAGUAUCCCAUCAUGUGAAGAUUUGAGGCUCAGAGUCCUAGCAUUAGAACCACAGCAUGCUGCUUCUUCCGGGAAAAAUGUAUCAUUGGGCUGCUACCAGCUGUAUGCAGAUUCUAGAACCAAAGAGGACAAAUCCUUGCUCAAACUGUAAAGAGGAAAACCAUCUAUCGGGGCCAGCGUUUCACAGAGGAACUAUGCCAUGCAACACAACCUGGGAAACACCACUGAAGCAAGCAGGAUUUCCUCUCCCAUGAGGUCUGGUAUGUAUUCCCUCAAUGUGCUGUAUUUGCAUAAAUCAUAUUAUGUAGGUGGCUGCCUGUUUUGCCCAUGGUCAGGGCCAGCCAUAGAUAGGGUACAACCCUGGAGUGAACAAAACAGGAGUCACUCCUGGGCAGAGAACACAAACUUUGUCAGAAAAUAAAUUACUGGAAACAUUUUUAUUAAAGAAGAGG